GUUUUUUUUUUUUUCACUUGUCCCGUGGCUCUCUUGAAUUCAAUUUUAGAGUUUUAAUGUUUUUAGUAGUUUGCAAAUCAACUAAUUCAAUAACAUUGUGUAUUUGUCCCAUCUAUGUUCCAUAUCAUGCUACGUGCUUGGAACUUUCGAUGAUUUGGAAUGAAUUUUUAGACAAUCUGAUAAUGUUUGCUUUCAACUUUUGUGUAGGGAAACCUAUUGAAAUUUACUACGGGAUUGGUGCGAUUUCCAGUUACCUUAUAAAAAGGGCCGAAACCACCCUUCCCAAUCUUAUUUGUUGGACAGAAGUUAUCUAUAGCAGCUACUACAGUUGCAAAAACUAUAUAAUGGCAAGUUCAGAACUUUCUUGUCUUCUCUGAGCCUAUUUGCACUAAUGAAUCCCCUAUCAUCUAACCAUUAUUUCCAAAUACUUAUGUAGUGAAGUAUUGGUUCUCAAUUGAUUGAAAUGCUUAUUGGAAUUUCAUAUUUGCAAUAAUGUUGUUCUUGCUCCUUUUUAUGAUUCAGUGCAGGUAAUUUGGUUCUACGUGCAAUCUGUUUCUGGAAAUGGCACAACUGCUCAGAUGCCGACUCGGUUGAGUGCAACCCAUCUACCCUUAAAAGUGGGAGCACCCAAAUGUGGAAUUUAGGUUGCAGCUGCUUGUUUAGAAGAAUUGUUGAUUUAAGCAGCUGCUUGUUUAGAUGUACAUGGGGAUGACAGUGUGAUGUAUCCGUAAUGGAAGUUUGUUAUAAGGGUGAGCAUGCAUAUGUUCCUAUAACUCAAGAAAGGUUACUGGCAGGCAUUAUCUACGAGGAUUCAACCUGGAUUGGAACAAAAGAUUGUUAUUCUGCGAGAUUCGUAUCUUUAGGGUUAUUUUGAUAAUGUUUCAGAGCAUCUCUGAGUAGGACCACCAGUAUAUUUUGUUGUGAAGAACUUCAACUAUAGGUGAUCAAUUGGCAAUUGCUAAGGAAACUGAGCAUCGGUUGGGAAUGGGUACAAACUUGUACCCAUCUUCAUCUCUUCUGGGGGACAGCAAGGAUGAAUUAGUUUCGGCUCUACCUGUGGAUGAACUAAUUGAGAAAGCUGAUGGUUUUACUAGGGUG